GGCAGACCAGUGUCAGGCUUGGAUUCGCCCAAAGAUUCUUCCCAAGAUGUUUGGCCAAUGAAAACAUCCAUUGUGAUGUGAAUGAGAACCUGUGGCCAAAUCCACCAGACAGGGUUGAUGGAAAUAUAGAAGUACAGUAAUCAAUCUUUUGUUCUGGUUUUUACAGUAAGCCAGGUGAGGAACACUGCAGUGAUGUUUUUACUGUAAGCCAGGUGAGGAACACUGCAGUGAUGUUUUACAGUAAGCCAGGUGAGGAACACUGCAGUGAUGUUUUUACAGUAAGCCAGGUGAGGAACACUGCAGUGAUGUUUUUACAGUAAGCCAGGUGAGGAACACUGCAGUGAUGUUUUACAGUAAGCCAGGUGAGGAACACUGCAGUGAUGUUUUUACAGUAAGCCAGGUGAGGAACACUGCAGUGAUGUUUUACAGUAAGCCAG
ensembl:lncRNA